CUUGACAUUGGGUCUUGGUACUACAUGUACAGAUAGGUGGGAGGCUUUGAAGCCAGGACGACAGUUUUGGCGGAGCCAUCCUUGGGAUACCACCCUUGUAGUACUGGGACUCUAACCAUAGGCCAUGAAGCUGGUCUUGGGACACUGUCAGGUGGGCAGUUUGACUGGGGCGGUCGCCCCCCAAAAGGUAACGGAGGCGCUCAAAGGUUCUCUCAGUACGGUCGGAAAUCGUACGUAGAGUGUAAAGGCAAAAGAGAGCU
rnacentral:rRNA from 1 species